GCUGUUAAAGUAUGGCUGAAUGGCCUCCAACAUUUGGCUUACGACAUAGACGACUUACUUGAUGAUUUGGCAACCGAAGCUAUGCAUCGUAAAUUGGCUGAUGAAUCUGGAGCCACCACUAGCAAGGUAAGAAAGCUACUCCCAACCUGUUGCACAAAUUUCUCACGUACAAGUAAAAGGAUGGAACGCAAGUUAGAUGAUAUUACCACCAAGUUACAAGAACUAGUGGAGGAGAAAAAUAAUCUUGGUUUAGGUGUGAUAACAAAUGAAAAGCCAAAAAUUGAAAGAUAUGAGGCAUCUUUGGUAGAUACAAGUGGUAUUGUUGGACGUGAAAGUGAAAAAAAUAAGUUGCUUAAGAAGCUUUUGGGGGGUAGAGAUGAAUUUACUAGUCAAAGUUUCAGCAUCUUACCCAUAGUUGGUAUGGGUGGGGUAGGCAAAACAACUUUAGCUAGAAUGUUGUAUGAUGAAAAGGAGGUGAAGGAUCACUUCAAACUUAGGGCUUGGGUUUGUGUUUCUGAUGAGUUUAAUAUCUUCAAUAUAAGCAAAGUUAUUUAUCAAUCUGUGACUGGGGAAAAGAAGGAGUUUGAAGACUUAAAUCUACUACAAGAAGCUCUUAAAAAGGAAUUUACGAACCAGCUAUUUCUAAUAGUUUUGGAUGAUGUGUGGUCUGAAAGCUAUGGUGAUUGGGAGAAAUUAGUGGCCCCAUUCCUUGUGGGGUCUCCCGGAAGUAGAAUUAUCAUGACAACUCGGAAGGAGCAAUUGCUCAGAAAGCUGGGCUUUUCUCAUCAAGACCCUCUCGAGAGUCUAUCACAAGAUGAUGCUUUGUCUUUGUUUGCUCAACAUGCAUUGGGUGUAGAUAACUUUGAUUCACAUCCAACACUAAGGCCACAUGGAGAACUGUUUGUGAAGAAAUGUGAUGGCUUACCUUUAGCCUUAAGAACACUUGGGAGGUUAUUAAGGACAAAAACAGAUGAGGAACAAUGGAAGGAGCUGUUGGAUAGUGAGAUAUGGAGGUUAGGAAAGAGCGAUGAGAUUGUUCCGGCUCUUAGACUAAGCUACAAUGAUCUUUCUGCCACUUUGAAGCUAUUGUUUGCAUAUUGCUCCUUGUUUCCCAAGGACUAUUUGUUCGACAAGGAGGAGUUGAUUCUAUUGUGGAUGGCAGAAGGGUUUUUGCACCAACCAACUACAAACAAGUCAAAGCAACGGUUGGGUCUUGAAUAUUUUGAAGAGUUGUUGUCAAGGUCAUUUUUUCAACAUGCUCCUAAUAACAAAUCGUUGUUUGUGAUGCAUGACCUCCUGAAUGACUUGGCCACAUUUGUUGCUGGAGAUUUUUUUUCAAGGUUAGACAUUGGGAUGAACCAGGAAUUCAGGAAGGAAGUUUUGCAAAAACACCGACAUAUGUCACUUGUUUGUAAGGAUUACAUGGUGUACAAAAGGUUCGAGCCAUUCAAAGGAGCUAAAAAUUUGAGAACAUUUUUAGCAUUGUCUGGCGGUUUAAAAGAAAGUUGGAAAAUAUUUUACUUAUCAAAUAAGGUCUUGAGUGACUUACUUCAGGAGUUACCAUUGUUAAGGGUCCUAAGUUUGAGUAAUCUUAGGAUAAGCGAGGUACCAGAAGUCGUCGGUAGUAUGAAGCACUUGCGGUAUCUUAAUCUAUCUCAAACUUGGAUCACACAUUUACCGGAAAAUGUCUGCAAUCUUUAUAAUUUACAGACACUGAUUGUUUCUGACUGUCAUAAAUUGAUUAAGUUGCCCGAGAGCUUCUCAAAGCUUAAAAAUUUGCAGCAUUUUGACAUGAGGGGUAGUUGGAAGUUGAAGAAGAUGCCCUUAGGGAUUGGUGAGUUGAAAAGUCUUCACACUCUCUCGAGUGAUAUUGGCUUAAAAUUAACCGAGCUUAAGAACUUGCAAAAUCUCCAUGGGAAAGUUUGUAUUGGCGGGCUGGGAAAAGUGGAAAAUGCAGUGGAUGCAUGUGAGGUGAACUUCUCUCAAAAAAGGUUUAGUGAGUUAGAGUUGGAUUGGGGUGAUGAGUUUAAUGUUUUUCGAACAGAAACACAUGAAAAGGAGGUCUUUAAUGAGUUAAAGCCUCAUAAUGGUACUCUAGAAAAACUCAGCAUUGUGUCAUAUAGGGGUAUAGAGUUUCCAGAUUGGGUUGCGGAUCUCUCCUUUCGUAAGUUGACUCAUGUGUUGAUAUAUAGAUGUGAAGAAUGUACAUCUCUACCAAGACUUGGGCAACUACCAUCACUGAAGGAACUGAUUAUUGGUGGGAUGAGUAAGGUGAAGGUUGUAGAUUUGGAGUUACUCGGGACUGACGUUGCAUUUCCUUCACUUGAAAUCCUAUGUUUUAAAAGUAUGUCAGGGUGGGAGGAAUGGUCAACAAAUAGUGGGGCGUUUCCUUGCCUUCAAGAGCUUCGUAUUGAAGAUUGUCCUAAUCUGCUUCGGGUCUCGCUUGAAGCACUGCCUUCCCUAAGGGUUCUGAAACUAAGAAAAUGUGGUCAUGGUGUCUUGAAAAACCUUGUUGAUGUAGCUUCAUCAAUCACCAAGUUGGAAAUAAAUGAUAUUUCAGGGCUUACUGAUGAGCUGUGGAGAGGUGUUACAAAGUAUCUUGGGGCAGUAGAAGAAGUAAGCAUCAGAGGGUGUGAUGACAUAAAAUACGUGUGGGAAUCAGAAGCAGAGGCAAGCAAGGUUCUUGUGAAUUUAAAAAUGUUGGCUUUAAGAAAAUGUAAAAUUUUUAUGAGUUUAGGGGAGAAAGAGGAGGAUAAUUGUGGGAGUAGCCUAACAUCUUUUAGGGAGUUGGGAGUAUCGGAUUGUAACAACUUGGAGCAUUGCAGUUGUCCAGAGAGCGUGGAGAUGUUGGAUAUUUGGAAUUGUGAUUCAAUUACAUCAGUCUCUUUCCCAACAGGAGGGCAGAAGCUCAAGUUACUUUCCGUUGGUAAUUGUAACAAACUAUUGGAAAAGGGGUUGGGAGGAAGAGAGAAGACAAGAGUGCUUAUAAACUCAAAAAUGCAGAUGCUUGAAUCAGUAUUUAUAUCUGAUUGGCCAAAUCUGAAAUCCAUCAGUGAAUUGAGUUGCUUCAUUCACCUGAACAGAUUAUAUAUAUCAGACUGUCUGAGUAUGGAGUCAUUUCCUGACCAUGAGUUGCCGAAUCUCACCUCGUUAACAGAACUAACAAUUCAAAAGUGUACAAGUAUGGAUGCAUCCUUUCCUCGUGGGCUUUGGCCUCCGAAAUUGUGUGCGCUUGACAUAGGAAGGUUGAAGAAGCCCAUCUCAGAGUGGGGCCCACAGAAUUUCCCAACAUCACUUGUUCGCCUAAGAUUAUAUGCCGGACCAUUUGAUGACCUGAGAAGUUUUGGUGAAUCGUCGCAUCUUUUUCCUUCAUCUCUUACUACUCUUGGCAUAUUUGGAUUUGAGAAACUGGAAUCGGUUUCAACGGGACUCCAACACCUCACCUCCCUCCAGAAUCUCUCCAUUAGGAACUGCCCAAAGACGAUAGAUUUACCAGAAAAAUUGUUGCCUUCACUUCUGGUAUUGUGGACUGAAGGAUGCCCAAAUUUGAAAGAAAGGAUCAGUAGAGGAGGCUCCUAUUGGCCCCACAUCUCCCUUAUCCCCAGCUUCGACAACAGUGACUACCAAUUACAAGUUUAAUGUCUAGGUAUGCCUUUGACUUCUUUUUAAUAUUAUUUCAAUACAAUUAUCAAUUAUGUAUUUCCAUGAAAAUUCUGUCUCAGUUAACAUUGAUAUGCUUACUGAUCUGUUUAAUGUUACUGUUUCUUUGUGUUGAUCAAUUUGAUUUAAGAAUUUUCAUUAUCUGUUAAAGUUUUACUGUAUUGAUUUUGAAAUCAUGAACAUUAAUUUAGCAAAGUAUGAAAAAUCCAUAUAAAUAUGUUAAAAUCAUGAAUCACUUUACACAUGAUCUUUAAGAAAACGUGAUCAAUUUACUAAUAGCUAGCUACCUAUGCCUUUUUACCCAAUUGAAAAUGAUGAUUAAUAUGUUCUAUAUUUUAACGACCCCUCCACUGAUAGGAUGCUCUUGUUUUUUUUUGAAAAUUGAGAUGAAUUUUAUUUUGUAUCACUUCUUAAGGAUAAAUGCAAGAAAUAGUGAUGUGCUUUUCAUUUAUAUUAUUGGGUUAAGCUCAUAAAAGACCUUAUAUUUUGUGUUUUUUUUCUGGAUUAAACUUCAAAUUUAUUUUUUGUCUGAAAAAAAACUUGUAUUGUUUCAUUUUCUCGAUCUAUCCCUUUUAGUCAUUUUUUUCCAAAAAAAAAAAAGAAAAUUGUAAAAUGUGAGGGUUUUUUUGAGAAAAACUAAAAAAAUUGAGGGUUUAUUUGGAAGCAGUUGGAAGGUUGAGGGCUUUUUUGAAAAAAAUUAAAAAAUACAAGGUUUUUUUCAGACAACUGAAGUUGAGGUUUAAUCCUGAAAAAACAUAGAAUAUAAGGUCUUUUAUGAAAUUAACCUUAUUUUAUGAUAGCAAUCAUUUACUUUCAAAAUAUUUUAUUACUUUUAAACCGGUAAUCCCAUUGUUAUAACUAGAUAGAUUUUUCAAAGUGCAACGUCUUAAUAAGAAAUAAUUUUAAAUUAUAAUGAUGUAACAAGAAAAAAAAAGAUAACUAUAGUUUAAUAAUAAAAACAUUUUAAAAGUACAUUGGUAUUUCUUGCAUUUUAAGCUUGUGCAAACAAUUUAAGUUUUGUUCAUUUUAUGCAUUAUCAGAUGAUCAAUCAAGUAAAGGAAGUGGAUUGGCACCAUGGCCCGCUAGACUAACUUCUCCACCUCCUAGUCUUUCUGACUUUGGCUAUUCAAGUGAAAUGUUUGAAAAGGACACGGUAAACACACACAACACAACACAACAUUAUCUUUCUAUCUUUUUCAAUUUUUUGCUAUAAAUUAAUAAACAAAUAAAAUUUUGCAUAUUUUAACAGGAGAUGUGGCGUAAAAGGGUUGAGAACUACUGGGAUCUAUUGAGCCCAAAAAUAUCAGCAAACACCAUAAGGAAUGUGAUGGAUAUGAAGGUAAACUUGGGUUCAUUUGGAGCUGCUUUGAAAACCAAAGAUCUUUGGGUCAUGAAUGUUGUCCCUGAAGAUGGACCAAAUACAUUGAAGCUUAUCUAUGACAGAGGCUUACUUGGUUCCAUUCAUAACUGGUACUACAUAUUUUCCUUUUCCCUAUUUUUUUUUUUAUUAUUGGGUUAAAUGCAAGAAAUAUUUAAAUUUCCAUAUUUAAUUCAGGUGUGAAGCAUACUCAACAUACCCACGAACAUACGACCUACUCCAUGCAAACGAUGUAUUCUCCGACAUAAUCGAAAAGAAAGGCUGCAGUGGCGAAGAUCUUUUAAUCGAAAUGGACCGGAUCCUAAGGCCCACGGGUUUCCUAAUAAUCCGCGAUAAAAAACCCGUAAUGGACUUCGUGAAGAAGUAUUUAACCGCAAUACACUGGGAACAGGUGGCGACGGCUGAUUCGUCGUCUGAUGAAACCGAUACGGAUCAUGUUGUGCUCAUUGUUCAAAAGAAACUAUGGCUCACUAGCGAAAGCUUGAGGGAAACAGACUAAGUUUUUCAACUUAUAAAAACCAAACCCACUUAGGUAAAAAGAAGGUGAAAAUGGUUAUGUUUUGUAGUAUCUCUCCCUCUCUCAAGUUGUGACAUCUUAGUAGUGUUUUGUUAUGAUUUAGUUGAUUUAUUUGUUAUGAUGAUAUACAUUUGCAUCUACAAACACUUGGUUUUCGGUUUUACAUUUGUUGUAUUAUUUAUUUGAAUUUUAAAUUAUACAAUUCAAAUUUUAGUUCUUUUGAUAUGAUGCAUAAACUAUAUAACAAGUUCCAUAUGAUUAUUAAAAACCACUAUUUUAACGUUUAUGAUGUUAUAUUGUUUUUUAGUUGUAACUAGAAAUUGUGGAUGGCCCAGUCUAUAAAUUUGCUAUUAGGAAAGCACAUGGGCCAUUUGUGUAAAUUACAUGAACAAUUUUUGUAAUUGAUUUUGUAUAUAGAAACCAAAAUAGCCAACAUAUGAAAGUAUUAUGACCAAAGGCGAAGACCCAUAUGUAAAAAAGUGGAGAGGACCUUGGAUAAUGUCUUUUUGUAAGUUAUUUUCUAUACAGAGGAGUAAAUUAUAUAAAUUAUAGGGAUAGCUUUUUGUAGGUUAUUUUCUAUAUAGACACAAAAACUUCACCUAUCUCGUGGCUUCAAGAGAACAUCAAGUUUUUGUGUGCAUAAGUUAUUAUUUUGUUUUCUCUUUCGAUGUUUAAUUUCAAUAUAAGCGAAUGAGAAAAGUGUAAAAUAUGUGCAUGCGGGAAAAUCAUCCAAACAUACACGAAGAAGCUAUUAGAAUCGGAUGAAAUGAUGAAGAACACUCAAAGUAAAAAAAAUACAUAAAUACGUAAAAAUAAUAAGGUUAUACUUUUAAAAUACAUAAACAUUUGUAUAAUUUUUUUAAAAAAAACACAUAAAUAUAUAUAAACACACAACACAUAAAGAAUAACACAUAAAAUAAAUAAAAAAGUAUGUAAAUACUUAAAAAUACAUAUAAAUUAGUAAAAAUAUAUGUUUAUAUAUUUAAAAUAUGUAAAAAUACGUAAACAAAUAUAUAAAAACUUUUAAAAAUAACACAUAAAUAUAUAAAAUUACAUAUAAAUACGUAAAAAAUACGUUUAUAUAUUAUAUAUAAAAUUUAAAGAAAUCUGUAGAAAAGUCUUAAUUAUUCUGGGAAAAUUAACGAUUUGGUUUCAUGAUCUGCUGAAUAUGUCAAAAAGGGCUAAAAUGAAUAAAAUAGUCGGUUUCUUGGGCUUUUCUAUUCAAAAAAUAAAAAUAAAUAAUCGAUACUUUUCUGUUCAAAAAGAAAAAAUUAGGACUUUAUAAAAAAAUUUCUCAAAAUAAUAAGAAUUUACUGUAGAAAACCCUACAUGAUGUUAUUAAAAAAAUGCUUAUUCAAAUUACCAUAAGAGAUACGUAAUUUAAAAAAAAAAAAUAGAGAAAAUUCAUCAAAUAACCAAAAGGGAGGGGAGUGUUUGAAGCAAACGACCACGAAAAAAACAAGAAAAAUCUUUGAGGAAAUGGCGUGGCGGGGGAAAAAAGACAAAAAAAAAUUAUAAAAUUUUAAUUCCGCAGAGGGUGCAUCGUUCCACAGAGAUGCCCUCUGCGCAUCUGUUCGUCAAAGCUAGUGGGAGUAUAGUAACAUUCCUGGUAUUUUAUGUUGAUGACAUACUUCUUAUAGGAAACGACAUUCCAACUUUGCAAGAUGUUAAGUCUUGGCUUGGAAAGUGUUUCGCUAUGAAGGAUCUGGGAGAGGCUGCUUAUAUUGUGGGGAUAAGGAUUUUGAGAGACAAGAGCAAGAGACUAAUUGGACUUAGUCAAAGUACCUACUUGGGUAAAGUGUUAAAACAUUUUAGCAUGGAAAAUUCCAAGAAAUGAGAGUUGCCUAUCCAUAGUAAUACCAAACUGAGUAAGACUCAAAGUCCGAGUACCGAUGUAUAGAUAGCAGAAAUGAGUCGAGUUUCAUAUGCUUCCGCCGUUGGAUCAAUCAUGUUUGAUAUGUCAUGUACUCGCCCUGAUGUGGCUUUUGCUCUGAGUAUGGUUAGUCGAUAUCAGGGAAAUCCGGGUAGAGCUUAUUGGAUAGCAGUCAAGAAUAUUCUCAAGUAUCUGCGAAGAACUAAAGACUGGGUCCUAAUGCUUGGUGGCAAUGAUAACUUGAAAGUAACCGGGUAUAAUGAUGCAAACUUUCAGACAGACAGAGAGAACUUCUGUUCUCAAUCUGGCUGGGUAUUUACCUUAAAUAGAGGAGCGGUGACUUGGAAAAGUUCCAAACAGGAGACGGUGGUUGAUUCUACUUGUGAAUCAAAGUACAUAGCAGCAAGCGAAGCAUAGAAGGAGGCUAUAUGGUUGAAGAACUUUAUCAGAGACCUUGGAGUUGUGCCAAUCAUAAAGGAGCCAAUAAAUAUUUAUGUGAUAAUAAAGGAGCGGUUGCCUUGACAAAGGAAACUAGAAGAUCAUGACAGAUCAAGACAUAUUGAUGGAAAAUACCAUUUUAUCAAACAUAGAGUAGAAGAAGGACACUUCGUCCUAAAGAGGGUAUCAUCAGAAGAAAAUCCUGCAGAUCCCCUCACAAAGGGUCUUAGUGAUUUUAGUUUUAGCAGUUAGAUAGGUAUUUAGAGACUUGUAACAAAGUAAAUGUAAUUGACUUUUGAUGAUUAAAUAAUGGAGAAUUAUUUAUGUGUAUAUGUUUACUAUUUUUCGUCAAUUGUUUAUUAUUGUGUUUCAUUUUGCAUGUUUUACUUCCCGAAUAAUUUGAUUAUUCAAAUAUCCACAGUCGAUCAUACUUUUAGAAGUAAGUAGUGAAUUAAGACUAUCAUGAAUCGAACUAUAGACUGUCUAAGGGUUUAGACAUAGCAAUAGCUUGUUGGAGUAUUCAUGAGUACCUUGAAAUGGAGAAUUUAAGUCUUGGAUUAACCCACACUCUGAGAAUCACUUCAUGGAAUUUAUCACGAGUAAUUAUGAGACGAUAAUAUCUUAUAAUCUUUAAAUGGAGAUAUAUGAGUCGUUGUUUACAAAUCAAUUGUGCAUUGAUGAUAUGUAAACGCAUCAUUAACUUGAUGUUAUAAAAUGUGUUGUUGUACAUGAUCUGAUGAGUAAAUAGUACAAACAUAUAAGUCAAAGUUUAUAUGUUCCUUUUUUCUUUAAUGGAAAAAGCAAUAUCUUGGGUCCUUCGAUGAUUUGGUGUUGACUUAUAGUGUCGGGUCCGACUGUAACGCCCGUAGAUCUGGACUAGUCAAUUUAGAGACGAUAAGCAUCAAAAGUGACUUUUUGAUAAAAGAUUAUUUUGAAUGAAUAAAUAUUAACUAGGUUGUACUGGUCGUGGCAAGGUUUCUGAAUAUAUAAAGAAUGCCGAAAUCCGAGUUAUAACGAAGAAGUUAUGACCUGUCGAGGUUUCGCGACAGAACCGGUACGACACUGUGUAACGUAAAUAGUGAAUUUACGAUAGAGCAAUAUUUAGCCUUAGUAAUCUAAACGAAAGUCGUGGAAUAUGUUAAACCGAGAGCGUGCAUAAAAAGAACGUCUAAAUUUGACUUCGUAUGAGGAAGUUAUGAUUUUUCGAAGUUUCGACUUAGCGGUAUGCAGCCUAAAGUUCGAAUAUGAGAUCGAGUGGUUUCUAGCCAAAACAAUCUAAACGAAAAUCGAAGAUCUCAUAGAUAGUAAUGCAACGGUAAAAAGACAGACGAAAAUGGAUGCUAGAUAAAGGAGUUGUGAAUUCCUAAUGGAGUUUUCCUGUCCCGGCCUACUAAAAAUAAUAUAAUAAAAGUUAAAUCAAAAUUAGCCGACAGAGUCUAAACGAGAGUUGUAGAGCAUAAUCUCACCUACAUGUGCAUAUAAAGAACGUCGAAAACGGAGCAUGUAUGCGAGAGAUAUGAAUUUCUGAUGUUCGGAAUGCAAACUAUGAGGCCUGUGUCAGAGCUCACGAUGUGAGCACAGUAUUCAUGACGUGAGCAGGUGAUGGACGUCUUCCAGGGCAAGUGGCCUGAUGACGAACGCAAUGACAUCGAGCUCAUGACGUGAACAUUAGUGGCUUACGACGUGAGCAUAGCAUUUCAGCCUCCUAUAAAUAGAAAGCGAGGCUAGCCAAGUUUUGUUGCUCAAUUUCUUUCCUCUCACCCAUAUUACCUCGUUUUACGUGCAAGUUAUACCCCUGAAGCCCUGGUAUCAUCCCGACACCCGAAGCGAGUCCUGAAGCCCUGAAGAUCUCGAGAAGAAAAGAGUUUCAAGCCGAAGCUCUGCCCACGAGAAGCCCGGUGUGUGAAGAUAUCUCGGUUUCAUAGAAGAACUUCUACUUGAAGAGCCGUAGUGUUGUCCGACAAUCGUCUUAACAAGUGAUUGUGUAGUUACUUUCUUCUAACACAUAAAUAUGAAGUAUUUGCUAUGAAAUACAUGUUAUGUGUUUAUAUAUUGCUUGUUUACUUGAGAUGGAUGUUGAAGGAAUGUUUUAUACAGGUUUUUAAAUGGUUUAAACUGUAUAUGUAAUUUUUAUCUACAAAUAUGUUGGGUAGAACAUGGGUAGACGAAAUAGUUGGUGUGUGAUGAAGGAUGAAUUUGAGGAUGAGACGAGAGAUGAUAUGGAUCAUGAGAUGGGGGGUGACAGGUGAAAAAUGAGUGAAACCUUACCCAGACGAUGGCCCCGUCAUUUAGCAGAGUAGGGAUGACAACCACGGAUGAUUCUAGACAAUCCAGUGGAACACUAGCAGACUCGCAACUUGUAGGUGUCGUGGACUUGAUGUUCACCGGUGUACUCUAAAAACCUUGGUAGCUAUAGAUUUAGUGCCUUAUAUAAGAACCUUGGUAGCUAUGGAUUUAGUAUUGUGUAGAUGAACGGUGGUAGCUAUGGAUUUAGUACUGUGUAGAUGAACGAUGGUAGCUAUGGAUUUAGUACUAUGUAGAGGAACCUUGGUAGCUAUGGAUUUAGUACUGUGUAGAUGAACAACAAUGGACUUUGUGCCAAUUCCUUAGGUCAAUCCUUAGGAAUGAAUGAAGAAAGGAUAGUUGAUUCUUAGGGUAAAACCUUAAGAAAUAAAGAAGAUAAUGGGGAUGGGUAAUUAGGUUGAUUGUUUGAUGGUUAAAUAUAAUAAUUAUAUUAUUGUGGGUUGAAAACCCUAUAUGCUCACCAGGCUCCUAAGCCUGACCCACUCAGUUUUCUUUGUAUCACAGGUAAUGGCUCAAGAGCAUAAGUUGGUUGACAUGACGAGAGAUUCUGGAUUAUAGACCAAUAGUUAUAAAUAACUGUUGUAAGGUCUAAUUUAUACUGUUUAUGCUUUUGGUCUGUAUCGGAACAUGACAUCAUGAGAUUUUGUUAUUUAAUGAAAAUACGUUUCUUUUAAGAAACAUUUUGAUAAAUUCGUAUCAUAUUUUGUUUUGGGAAAAAAUUCCGCAACUCUUUUAAUCAAAGGAUUACUCUUAUUUUAUAAAACAAAGCAUAAACAAAUCGGUUUUUUCUGGCCGUGAAAAUUGGGGAUGUCACAGUUAGUAUCAGAACAUUAGUUUAAGCGAACUAGGAAUAUGUAGGAUCUCUAGACUUAAACUUAGAACGCUAAGUGAUGAUUGUGAGAUGAGUGUGUACCAUAUUUAGACAAGAGCACUAGUUUAUUUUAGGAAAGAUGCCUAAAAUGCUUUUAUGUGCUAAAUGCUAUAUGUUUACCAUAUAUAUUAUUAUUUGUUCGGAUUUAUGGCUUAUUAACAACCAAUUUCAAAACUACCUUAUUUUUACCAAACACUCUCUUACCAGGUAUCAUAAGCAAUGGCUGAAAUCGUGCUGUCUGCUUUUUUGACAGUGGUAUUUGAAAAGCUGGCCUUUGAAGCCUUGAAGAAGAUUGCUGGCUCCAAGGGAGCUGUUUCCAAACUGAAGAAAUUGGAGAGGUCAUUAAUUCAGAUCAAAGCUCUUCUUAAUGAUGCUUCUCAGAAGGAGAUAACUGAUGAAGCUGUUAAAGGAUGGCUGAAUGGCCUCCAACAUUUGGCUUACAACAUAGACGACUUACUUGAUGAUUUGGAAACCCAAGCUAUGCAUCGUGAGUUGGCUAAUGAAUCUGGAGCCACCACUAGCAAGGUAAGAAAGCUAGUCCCAACUUGUUGCACAAAUUUCUCACGUACAAGUAAAAGGAUGGAGCGCAAGUUAGAUGAUAUUACCACCAAGUUACAAGAACUAGUGGAGGAGAAAAAUAAUCUUGGUUUA
rnacentral:lncRNA from 1 species